GGCCUACACAUGCAGUCGAGCGGAUGACGGGAGCUUGCUCCUUGAUUCAGCGGCGGACGGGUGAGUAAUGCCUAGGAAUCUGCCUGGUAGUGGGGGACAACGUUUCGAAAGGAACGCUAAUACCGCAUACGUCCUACGGGAGAAAGCAGGGGACCUUCGGGCCUUGCGCUAUCAGAUGAGCCUAGGUCGGAUUAGCUAGUUGGUGGGGUAAUGGCUCACCAAGGCGACGAUCCGUAACUGGUCUGAGAGGAUGAUCAGUCACACUGGAACUGAGACACGGUCCAGACUCCUACGGGAGGCAGCAGUGGGGAAUAUUGGACAAUGGGCGAAAGCCUGAUCCAGCCAUGCCGCGUGUGUGAAGAAGGUCUUCGGAUUGUAAAGCACUUUAAGUUGGGAGGAAGGGCAGUAAGCUAAUACCUUGCUGUUUUGACGUUACCGACAGAAUAAGCACCGGCUAACUCUGUGCCAGCAGCCGCGGUAAUACAGAGGGUGCAAGCGUUAAUCGGAAUUACUGGGCGUAAAGCGCGCGUAGGUGGUUCGUUAAGUUGGAUGUGAAAGCCCCGGGCUCAACCUGGGAACUGCAUCCAAAACUGGCGAGCUAGAGUACGGUAGAGGGUGGUGGAAUUUCCUGUGUAGCGGUGAAAUGCGUAGAUAUAAGAAGGAACACCAGUGGCGAAGGCGACCACCUGGACUGAUACUGACACUGAGGUGCGGAAGCGUGGGGAGCAAACAGGAUUAGA
rnacentral:rRNA from 1 species